rnacentral:tRNA from 1 species
GCCCAAUGGUUCGGCAUCGAGCCCGCGCCCUUCGACGGCGCGGUGAACCCGCUGGAAGCACAGAUGGCGGGCGCCGCCCCGCUCUGGGCC